rnacentral:rRNA from 1 species
UACGUAGGGUGCAGGCGUUAAUCGGAAUUACUGGGCGUAAAGCGUGCGCAGGCGGUCUGCUAAGACAGGUGUGAAAUCCCCGGGCUUAACCUGGGAACUGCGCUUGUUACUGGCAGGCUGGAGUGUGGCAGAGGGGGGUGGAAUUCCACGUGUAGCAGUGAAAUGCGUAGAGAUGUGGAGGAACACCGAUGGCGAAGGCAGCCCCCUGGGCCGAACCUGACGCUGAGGCGCGAAGGCUAGGGGAGCGAACGGG